GUUUUAAUCAGACUUACGGUACUUUCACCAAGCUAUCUCAAAGCACAUAACAACCACUGUAAUUACUGGCAAUAAUGAGCUAAUUAAUUCAUCUGGGUAUUAUUUCUCAAGGAAUAAAUACUACUGUCCUCAGUGUGGGGGAUAUGGAAACUAAGAUGUCUUCAGCUUCAUCUUUAAAUGUAUGGUUUUGAACGCUGUUGCUCCAGAACUCUUCAGGACAGAUAAGACACGUCAAAUCUUUGAUUGCUUCUGUAACUGUUUGAGCAGAGCCCUGCUCCUGUUUUCUGUCUGGUGCUGGAGGGAAACAGCGACAGCUCUCCUUGAAAUAAAGCCCAAAUACGGGAA